rnacentral:rRNA from 1 species
AACGAACGCUGGCGGCAUGCCUAACACAUGCAAGUCGAACGAAGCCUUCGGGCUUAGUGGCGCACGGGUGCGUAACACGUGGGAAUCUGCCCUUCGGUUCGGAAUAACAGUUAGGAAUGACUGCUAAUACCGGAUGAUGACGUAAGUCCAAAGAUUUAUCGCCGAAGGAUGAGCCCGCGUAGGAUUAGGUAGUUGGUAGGGUAAUGGCCUACCAAGCCGACGAUCCUUAGCUGGUCUGAGAGGAUGAUCAGCCACACUGGGACUGAGACACGGCCCAGACUCCUACGGGAGGCAGCAGUGGGGAAUAUUGGACAAUGGGCGAAAGCCUGAUCCAGCAAUGCCGCGUGAGUGAUGAAGGCCUUAGGGUUGUAAAGCUCUUUUACCCGGGAAGAUAAUGACUGUACCGGGAGAAUAAGCCCCGGCUAACUCCGUGCCAGCAGCCGCGGUAAU